rnacentral:rRNA from 1 species
ACACAUGCAAGUCGAGGGGCAGCGAGGGCGUAGCAAUACGCCUGUCGGCGACCGGCGCACUGGUGAGUAACACGUAUGCGACCUGCCCCCUACAGGGGUAUAACCCGUAGAAAUGCGGACUAAUCCCCCAUAGUCCUGGGUGCUGCAUGGCAUUCAGGGGAAAGGCCAGCCGGUAGGGGAUGGGCAUGCGGCGCAUUAGCUAGUUGGCGGGGCAACGGCCCACCAAGGCGACGAUGCGUAGGGGUUCUGAGAGGAAGGUCCCCCACACUGGUACUGAGACACGGACCAGACUCCUACGGGAGGCAGCAGUGAGGAAUAUUGGUCAAUGGGCGCAGGCCUGAACCAGCCAAGUCGCGUGAGGGAAGACGGUCCUACGGAUUGUAAAUCUCUUUUGUCGGGGAGUAACGUGCGGGACGCGUCCCGUAUUGAGAGUACCCGAAGAAAAAGCAUCGGCUAACUCCGUGCCAGCAGCCGCGGUAAUACGGAGGAUGCGAGCGUUAUCCGGAUUUAUUGGGUUUAAAGGGUGCGCAGGCGGCGCGCCAAGUCAGCGGUCAAAGUUCCGGGCUCAACCCGGUGUCGCCGUUGAAACUGGCGUGCUCGAGUGCGUGCGAGGAAGGCGGAAUGCGUUGUGUAGCGGUGAAAUGCAUAGAUAUGACGCAGAACUCCGAUUGCGAAGGCAGCUUUCCAGCGCGCUACUGACGCUGAGGCACGAAAGCGUGGGGAUCGAACAGGAUUAGAUACCCUGGUAGUCCACGCAGUAAACGAUGACUACUAGCUUUCCGGGAUGAUUGAGUCCUGG